rnacentral:rRNA from 1 species
GUUACUAGUAAUCGCAGAUCAGAAUGCUGCGGUGAAUGCGUUCCCGGGUCUUGUACACACCGCCCGUCACACCACGGGAGUUGGAGACGCCCGAAGCCGAUUAUCUAACCUUUUGGAAGAAGUCGUCGAAGGUGGAAUCAAUAACUGGGGUGAAGUCGUAACAAGGUAGCCGUAUCGGAAGGUGCGGCUGGAUCACCUCCUUUCUAAGGAGAAUU